AGCUAUUUUCUCUCCCGUUCCUCUAACCAGCUCCUGACACGUUUUCAAGAUGGACUGCUAAAUUUCCGUCAAAUUUUUUUUUAGCCGAGCUGAGUAACCGGCUACCGGUUGCAAGGUCUCAUGCGGUCAAAGCGGUGGGCGGUGCCCAGUCUUUAGGGACGUGCCCCUCUCUCCCACGUCCCAGUGUCCCACCGCAGAACACCACGUUUCUGGUUUUUUCUCUCCAUGUCGACAAAACCACCACCACACCGCCCUCUCACGCGAUGAAGCAGACGGCGGCCUAGGCGACGUCCGUAUUGGUGGCGACGACCUUGGAGGCGGAGCAGGAGCGGGCAAGGGACGGCGACCUUGGGAGCGGCCACGCGCGGGCCGGCGGCGGCGACCGCGGAGCGAGGCAGGCGCGGGUCGGCGGCGGCAGCCUUAGGGCGGAGCAGGGGCAAGCCUGGGACGGCGACCUUGGGGAGGAGCAUGCGUGAGCAGGGGCCGGAGCAAUCAGGGGCCGACGGCGGAGGAAAACACAGCCACGUCGGGGCGGACCAGUUAGGGGCCGGCGGCGGCCACUUCGGGGCGGAGCGGGCAGGGGCCGACGGCGGAGGAAAACGGCGGUGGCUGGAUCAAGAAAAAGACAACAGGCUCUCACAUACAUGUCGAAUGUUUGGAAGCAGAAAAUUCAGGUUGCAAAUAUAGUGGCCUGGAUGGAGGGCUUCAUGGAUGGAGGGCUUCAAGGAAAACCAUUGUGCGUGUACCCCAAAUCUGGGAGUAUAGGGAUCAAGCUACCUGGCAAAAAUUGCUCCAGUUGGACCUUAUUAUUACUAAUGAGAGGGCAAAACAAUGGAAGGCUGCGUGUGAUGCAAUCGAAUAUACAAGUUCAGAGAGUGACUAAAUUAAAGGAAGGUACUGCAAUGUGUUAGUGAUUUUGUACAUAGAGGCCUACAAAGUAUGACUUGGAUUGUUGAUGCAAAUUGCUAUCUCAAAAGUAGCAAUUUUGCAUCUACUAGAAUGAUAUAUUGGCCUCAUAUCAGGACAUUAGAAGCAAGAAAAAAGAUCAGGUUCGAUCUACAGCAUGCCUCCAGUGAUCUUUAAUGGUAAUUUAUAGAACAAGGUUCGCAAAAGUAUUGGUGAUGUUCUACGUCCAUCGCUGCACAGAUGCAAAGCAUGUCGUCGGUGAUUUUUCAUGAUGAGAAAAUCAAGGAUAAAUGUUUUGUUGCAUGAUGCUUUAUAUAUAAAUACAUAUAUAUGUGCCUAAUAACACACCUGGAUAUUAUACAUACUGCGCCGCUCUUCUCUUUAGCAAAAACUGUGGCUGGACCAUAUUCAUUGAAACAGUUCCAUUUUCCAUUCACCUUUCUUUCAUUAUACUGCAAGAAAACUGGUACUAAGCUUCCUUCAAUAUCAGUGUUUCCACCAAUAUUAAAUGUGCAUUGAAUCAUAUGAAUGCGGGAAAAUAUUAUAUAAUGUUAAUCUUCAUGAUACUAUAUUACCACUUUCUGGGUAUUAAAUUUACAAGUUUCUAAAUUUUGUUUGUUAUUUGCCAGGAAGUGUGUUCGAUGGAGGGGAAGUUCAUUCUGGGUUUCCUGAUUCGGUUGGUAUGCGUCUCCUUCUCACAAACAUGACAUUCCUUGGUUGAUGUUAAUUUGGUUCAAAUAUUUUUCAGUCCAUGUACCACAUGCUAUUUCUCCCUGUGGAUCGUUCUGGUGGCGAGACAUCUACAGUUUGUCUAAUACUUUCAGAAGAAUCAAUCAUUGUUCAGCGAAGGCUGGAGACACAGUAUUAUUAUGGAAAGAUGUCUACUGGAAAUGAUAUCCAGCAGCAUCAAUUACCUCAUUUAUUCUCCUUCAGAUCUAGAAGAUGUUAGUACUGCAGAGUACUUGGAGAAUAAUGACCUAGCCAUUUACUUUGUUUUGCUAUUGUCUCUGGAAGCUCAUGAGGAGCUGCAUAUCAUGGACGAGCAUGUCAAUAAUAUUCAGAGGGAGGUGUUGCAGCUAGAUGAAUGGAGUUAUUUGUGUGAACCUAAGGAUUUCAGUGCACAUAAAUACUACAGGUUUCUGUUCAGAGAUAUCUGUCGUGUUCCUUUUCUUCCUAAGAUUUGGAAAACAAAAUGUAUGAUGCGGGCCAAAGUUUUUGCCUGGCUUCUGACUAUGGAUAGAAUCAAUGCCCGAGAGAUGUUGGUUUGGAGAAAUUCCCCUAUUCCCAAUGUUAAUUUUGUCAUCUGUCAGUUGCACGGGGAGACAAGUGACCAUCUGUUUUUCACUUGCCAUUUUAGUGCAGCCUGUUGGUCCGCUUCGGGGAUUGUUUGGGACACGAGCAUUGAUCUGAGUAGUAGAAUCUCCAGAGCUGCAUGAUUAUUGAAUAAGCUACUGUUUGCAUUACAUCCUUCGUGCUUCGAACAUUUGGAAACAAAAGAACACGAGGCAUUUUGAUAGUAUUCAGAGUUGGCUUGGCUUACUAAGGUAGGAGACAUGGUUAAAUCUGAGUUUAGAGAUCAAAUAAAAACUUUUGUAAGUGAGUUAGAGAGUUUGGGGUACUCACUGAGUUGUAACACACAUUUAUUAAUUACCGACCUCAUAUGACUAUAAUAUGAAGGUAGCAUUUUCUGCUUACUGAUU